rnacentral:rRNA from 1 species
CCUACGGGGGGCAGCAGUGGGGAAUAUUGGGCAAUGGGCGCAAGCCUGACCCAGCAACGCCGCGGGAAGGAAGAAGGCUUUCGGGUUGUAAACUUCUGUGGACAGGGAAGAGAAGAAGACGGUACCUGUCGAAUAAGCCACGGCAAACACCGGGCCAGCAGCCGCGGUAAGACGUAGGUGGCAAGCGUUGCCCGGUUUUACUGGGGGUAAAGGGCGUGUAGCCGGGUUGAAAAGUCAGUUGUGAAACCCUGCGGCUUAACCGCAGAACUGCAUUUGAAACUGUUGAUCUUGAGUACUGGAGAGGCAGGCGGAAUUCCUAGUGUAGCGGUGAAAUGCGUAGAUAUUAGGAGGAACACCAGUGGCGAAGGCGGUCUGCUGGACAGCAACUGACGGUGAGGCGCGAAAGCGUGGGGAGCAAACAGGAUUAGAUACCCCAGUAGUC